rnacentral:rRNA from 1 species
AUUGAACGCUGGCGGCAUGCCUUACACAUGCAAGUCGAACGGCAGCACGGGUGCUUGCACCUGGUGGCGAGUGGCGAACGGGUGAGUAAUACAUCGGAACGUACCUUAUCGUGGGGGAUAACGCAGCGAAAGCUGUGCUAAUACCGCAUACGCCCUGAGGGGGAAAGCGGGGGAUCGCAAGACCUCGCGCGAUUAGAGCGGCCGAUGCCUGAUUAGCUUGUUGGUGGGGUAAAAGCCCACCAAGGCGACGAUCAGUAGCUGGUCUGAGAGGACGAUCAGCCACGCGGGGACUGAGACACGGCCCAGACUCCUACGGGAGGCAGCAGUGGGGAAUUUUGGACAAUGGGGGCAACCCUGAUCCGGCAAUGCCGCGUGAGUGAAGAAGGCCUUCGGGUUGUAAAGCUCUUUUGUCAGGGAAGAAACACCGGCUCUAACACAGUCCGGGAAUGACGGUACCUGAAGAAUAAGCACCGGCUAACUACGUGCCAGCAGCCGCAGUAA